rnacentral:rRNA from 1 species
UACAGAGGGUGCAAGCGUUUGUUCGGAAUUAUUGGGCGUAAAGAGCUCGUAGGCGGCUUGUCGCGUCGAAUGUGAAAACUCGGGGCUCAACCCCGCGCUUGCAUUCGAUACGGGCAGGCUCGAGUUCGGUAGGGGAGACUGGAAUUCCUGGUGUAGCGGUGAAAUGCGCAGAUAAUCAGGAGGAACACCGGUGGCGAAGGCGGGUCUCUGGGCCGAUACUGACGUGAGGUACGAAGCGUGGGGAGCAAACAGGA